rnacentral:snRNA from 1 species
UGAUGUGAGGGCAAUCUGGCUGAGACAUCUGUCACCCCAUUGAUCACCAGUGUUGAUUUGGCUGAUCUGGCUGGCUAGGUGAGUGUCCCCUUCCUCCCUCACCACUCCAUAUGUGUCCCUUCCGAAGCUGCAUGCUCAGUUGAAGAGGAUGGCCAUCCCUGAGAGAGGAGGACCAGUCUUCGGUCAAGGGUAUACGAGUAGCUGUGCUCCCGGCUAGAACCUCCAAACAAGCUCUCAAGGUCCAUCCUCCAACCUUUUUCAUAAGGAAAUAGGAUCCUAGACAUUAACAUAACAGACCAACUAUGGUCAGGCUCCACUCAGUGUACUUUAUUAGAGCUGAGCUUUUGUCAACCUUAGGUU